rnacentral:piRNA from 1 species
UAGAUGUGGUUUCUCGACAUCUGUGCAGCUU